GAAAUGCGAUAAGUAAUGUGAAUUGCAGAAUUCAGUGAAUCUUCGAAUCUUUGAACGCACCUUGCGCUCCUUGGUAUUCCUUGGAGCAUGCCUGUUUGAGUAUCAUGAAAUCUUCAAAGUAAAUCUUUUGUUAACUCAAUUGGUUUCUACUUUGGUAUUGGAGGUCUUUGCAGCUUCACACCUGCUCCUCUUUGUUCAUUAGCUGGAUCUCAGUGCUAUGCUUGGUUCCACUCGGCGUGAUAAGUUAUCUAUCGCUGAGGACACUGUAAAAGGUGGCCAAGGUAAAUGCAGAUGAACCGCUUCUAAUAGUCCAUUGACUUGGACAAUACUUUUAUGAUCUGAUCUCAAAUCAGGUAGGACUACCCGCUGAACUUAAGC
rnacentral:misc_RNA from 1 species